CAGGACACUGAGAGCAUGUGGACGCGUGAAGGAGGCUGCGCAAAGCAGCCACUUUCACUGCAUCAUGGAUGUAUCCCCAGGACCCUCUUGUUGCUGCAGUACUACUGCAUUCUGCGGACAAAAUAAAAGUUCAAACACCACCGAAAGGCUGGUGGAAACUUUGUUAGCUGCCAGUGAUGCCGAAGUUAGCGGGGAUGAGUGUUAUGAAGUGGAUGAAGGAAAUAAAAUAAAAUCUGCAUUUUGUUGACAACACGACACUAGACAAAACUGACAAAAUAUCCAAGGUGAGACCUCUAGUUAACCACCUACAGGAGAAGUUUCCACAAAUCCCCACGACAGAAAACCUGUGUAGAUGAGCAAAUGAUCCCUUCCAAGGUCAGUCAUGUAUGACAGCAUUGUGAAGAGAAUAAGGAAGUGAAAGGAAGAUAUGAAGAGAGAGGUAAACAUUCAAGAAAAAAAAAAUCUCAUAAAUGGGGUUAUAAGAUAUUUGUGUUGGCAGACAGCAUGGGUAUGGUGUAUGAUUUUAUGUCUUAAACUAGAAAAAUUCAAGCUGUUGGCAAGCCUGAUGUUCCAGAUCUCAAACCAAGCUGGAAUGCAGUACUGCAUCUUGCUGAAAGUAUACCGAACAUGAAAAAUCACAAAUUGUACUUUGACAGUUGGUUCACAUCUGUGCACCUCCUUGAACAUCUAGCCUCGAGGGAAAUAUGGUGUUCUGGCACAGUGCAGGCAAGGAGGCUAGAAGGUUUGACGUUCAAGUCAGACAGACAACUUGCAGCUCAAGGUACAGGUUGUCAUGAUGAAUGGGAAACGAAAACUGGGGACUAAAACUUCAGGUGUCAAGUGGAUGGAUACCAAGUCAGUGUGUCUUGUAUCAUCAUUUACAACAUCAUGGCCAAUAGAGAAAUGUUCCAGGGACGACAAGAACACUAAAGACAGAGUUAAAACCCCCAGGCCCAAUAUUGUAGCAGAUUGUAACAAAUAUAUGGGAGGUGUUGAUUUGUGUGACCAAUUGCUUGCUUACAACCUUCAAAGCAAAAAAAUACUAUCAGAGGCUUGUAUUUCACUUACUUGACAUGACAGUGGUAAACUGUUGAUUACAGUACAGACAAUCAGCAACUGCUGUGGGAGUCCCUUCUCGUAAGCAGAAUAGUCUCUGUGAGUUCAAGCUAUCUAUCAACGUCCCUGAUGUGUGGUAGAAAGAUGUGACAAGAAAAAGAGGAAGACCUUCAAAUGCUGUGGACAGUGCCUUUGCUCAGAAGAGGAAAACUGGGGCAGCCACCAAGAAAAUUCCAAGACAGUGUUGGGCAUUUCCCUGCUUUCAGUACAAAUAGGGGCACAUGCAAGUUGCCAGGCUGUAAGGGAAAAGUACAAAUGUAUUGUAUGAAAUGCAAAGUUCACCUGUGCUGUGAUGCAAGAAGGAACUGCUUCUAUGAUUCCCAUGCAACAUGAGGCGGCACACAAGGGUUGUGCUAAAUAAAAAAAAAAAGGAACAAUUCUUCGAAGUCAAUUUAUGGAUUUUUUUUUUUUCAUUAAUCAGAGAUGAGAUAUUAUCACAUGAAUGCUCAGUACAAACAUGAGAAGUCAUUCACAUAUUUUUUCUUUCAUAUAAGGUUUAAAAGUUUAAGAAAUCCUAAACUCAUUGGUAAUACUAUUGAGACCAUGAAUCUGUCAUACGCCUAAAUGGACAUUUAUGUCCCUUUAUGGAUUUUAUUUGUAAUUGACCAAUACAGAUGAAUAAAACGCG